GGGGGCGUCCCGGUUUCGACUGAACAUUCGAGGCGCCGGCUGCAUGUGGAGGUUGAUCGGCUGGCCUCCUUAAAAGCCGCUCAAAAGAUUAAGUGCCUAUUCUAAGAACGAAUACGCCAUGGCUGCGUAAUUAACGCGCCUUGCGCCGAUUCCCGACGCCUACUAGGGAUGACGCGCCUAGCUCAGUAGGCAGGUGCCCGGCGGGGGAACCGCGCCGGGUAUGACAUCCACAGGUUCCUGGCUAUGGUGAAAGGCUGACGCGGAGCGGAUCACCGGCGAGAUGCAGCAAUCCGCGUCUGAACAUGGAGAUGCUUGCGUCAACAGUGUCCAGGACAGGGGUUCAAUUCCCCUCGCCUCCAUCC
rnacentral:tmRNA from 1 species